rnacentral:rRNA from 1 species
GACGAACGCUGGCGGCGUGCUUAACACAUGCAAGUCGAACGGAAAGGCCCCUUUGGGGGUACUCGAGUGGCGAACGGGUGAGUAACACGUGAGUAACCUGCCCUUGACUUCGGGAUAACUUCAGGAAACUGGGGCUAAUACCGGAUAGGAAUCCUUGCUGCAUGGUGGGGGUUGGAAAGCUUCGGCGGUUUUGGAUGGACUCGCGGCUUAUCAGCUUGUUGGUGGGGUAGUGGCUUACCAAGGCUUUGACGGGUAGCCGGCCUGAGAGGGCGACCGGCCAAAAUGGGAAUGGGGAAAGGCCCAAGAUCCCAAGGGGAGGAGGCGUGGGGGAUAUUGCAACAUGGGGGGAAGGCUGAUGGAAGAAACGCGGGGGGGGGAAGAACGGCUUUCGGUUGUAAACCGCUUUCAGCAGGGGCGAAGCUUGUGGUGACGGUACCUGCAGAAGAAGCACCGGCUAACUACGUG